UCAUAUGGAUUCCUACGGGAGGCAGCAGUCGGGAAUAUUGCCCAAUGGUCGCAAGACUGAGGCAGCAACGCCGCGUGCGCGAUGAAGGCCUUCGGGUCGUAAAGCGCUUUUCAGUGGGAUGAGGAAGGACAGUACCACUGGAAUAAGGUACGGCUAACUACGUGCCAGCAGCCGCGGUAAAACGUAGGUACCGAGCGUUAUCCGGAUUUACUGGGCGUAAAGCGUGUUCAGGCGGUCUAGCAAGUCGGGCAUGAAAUCUCUGGGCUCAACCCGGAGGGGUUGUCCGAAACUGCUGGGCUUGAGGGCAGCAGAGGGUGGUGGAAUUCCGGGUGUAGUGGUGAAACGCGUAGAUAUCCGGAGGAACACCAGUGGCGAAGGCGGCCACCUGGGCUGUACCUGACGCUCAAACACGAAAGCUAGGGGAGCGAACGGGAUUAGAAACCCCGGUAGUCCUAGCCGUAAACGAUGUUGACUAGGUGUCGACGGUCUAAACCCCGCCGGUGCCGGAGCUAACGCACGAAGUCAGCCGCCUGGGGACUACGGCCGCAAGGUUAAAACUCAAAGGAAUUGACGGGGACCCGCACAAGCAGCGGAGCGUGUGGUUUAAUUCGAGGCUACGCGCAGAACCUUACCAGGGAUUGACAUGGCGGUGGUAGUGAAGCGAAAGCGGAACGACCCUUCGGGGAGCCGUCACAGGUGAUGCAUGGCUGUCGUCAGCUCGCGCCGUGAGGUGUUUGGUUAAGUCCACUAACGAGCGCAACCCUUAGCCUCAGUUAUACGUGUCUGAGGCGACUGCCGGUAUUAAGCCGGAGGAAGGUGGGGAUGACGUCAAGUCCGCAUGUCCUUUAUAUCCUGGGCUACACACACGCUACAAUGGCCAGUACAAUGGGUCGCCAAGCCGCGAGGCGGAGCCAAUCUCAGAAAGCCGAUCGUAGUCCGGAUUGGAGUCUGCAACUCGACUCCAUGAAGUCGGAAUCGCUAGUAAUCGCGGAUCAGCAUGUCGCGGUGAA
rnacentral:rRNA from 1 species